rnacentral:miRNA from 1 species
UGUUUUCUUCUUCUGCACUAUUU